rnacentral:rRNA from 1 species
GACGAAGGGGGCUAGCGUUGUUCGGAAUUACCGGGCGUAAAGCGCGCGUAGGCGGUUUUUCAAGUCAGAAGUGAAAGCCCCGGGCUCAACCCGGGAACUGCUUUUGAUACUGUUGGACUUGAGUCCGGGAGAGGAUAGUGGAAUUCCCAGUGUAGAGGUGAAAUUCGUAGAUAUUGGGAAGAACACCAGUGGCGAAGGCGGCUAUCUGGACCGGUACUGACGCUGAGGCGCGAAAGCGUGGGGAGCAAACAGG